CACUGCCGGUGGUUGGUUGCCGGGCCGGGCCGGCGCCUCCAGUGAGCGUCCAUGUUGCCGGGCGGGUUGACCUUCCCUCGGUUGACCCUGGCGGCCGUCGUGGGGGUGGCGGGCGGACUGUACAUCUACAGGCCGCUGUAUAAACAGUAUCGCCUGGAACAAGCCAAGGCCCGGGGCAACUCGGCUCCCGGCGCCGAGAGCGGCGGCACCAACAUUGACGGCUCGGCACCGCCUCGGGCCGCGGGCGGCGACGGUAAAGCGGGCGGCGAGGCCGGUCAGUGCUCCCCGGCCACCGGCCUUUGACCGCUCAAUGUGAGGCAGCAUCGUGGCAACCUGUACGACAGCUCCCCGCUGUACAGUCUGCAGGGAAUGAGCCUUGCAACUGUGUGCUGGCUCACUGCGGCUGGGCAUCGAACCCAUGUUCUCCAGCGAUGCCUUUAUGCAAAUCAAAAUAUUGAAGCUGAAGUCACUGAGUAGGAAAUGGAUGAAUUCUGUUGAACGACAACUUUACACUGCUGAGCUGGACAAAUUACUCUUCUGCAACAAUUACAAUGGUUCAAGGAGAAAAAUGACCAUUGCCUUCUUAACUAAGGAUGGACAAUAAAUGUUGCUUUCACCAACACCAUAAGACAUGAGAACAGAUAAUAAAGCAUUGCCACACAAAAAAAUA